CUCUGUGGCCAUUCCACACUGAAUGCGCCUGAUCUCAUCUGUUCUUGUGAAGGUAAGCAGGGUUAUGCCUGGUUAGUACUUGGAUGGGAGACCACCUGGUAAUAUCAGGUGCUGUAGGUC
rnacentral:rRNA from 1 species